GCCGAUGAUGAUAAGCAAUCACUGAAUUGUGAUGAACCCUAUGAGUACUGAU
rnacentral:misc_RNA from 1 species